ACGCUCGACACCUACGGAGGCAGCAGUGGGGAAUAUUGCACAAUGGGGGAAACCCUGAUGCAGCGACGCCGCGUGAGCGAAGAAGUAUUUCGGUAUGUAAAGCUCUAUCAGCAGGGAAGAAACUGACGGUACCUGACUAAGAAGCACCGGCUAAAUACGUGCCGANAGCCGCGGUAAUCUGAGCGGGCGUGGCGAAGGC
rnacentral:rRNA from 1 species